UAAAAACUUGACUGAAGACUAAGGAUGA
rnacentral:piRNA from 1 species